rnacentral:rRNA from 1 species
AUUGAACGCUGGCGGCAGGCCUAACACAUGCAAGUCGAGCGAGCGGCGGACGGGUGAGUAAUGUCUGGGAAACUGCCUGAUGGAGGGGGAUAACUACUGGAAACGGUAGAUAAUACCGCAUACCCUCAGAUGUGCCCCGAUGGGAUUAGCUAGUAGGUGGGGGAACGGCUCACCUAGGCCACGAUCCCUAGCUGGGAUGAGCGGAUGACCAGCCACACGUGAACUGAGACACGGUCCAGACUCCUACGGGAGGCAGCAGUGGGGAAGAUUGCACAAUGGGCGCAAGCCGGAUGCAGCCAUGCCGCGGGUGUGAAGAAGGCCUUCGGGUUGUAAAGCACUUUCAGCGGGGAGGCGUUACCCGCAGAAGAAGCACCGGCUAACUCCGUGCCAGCAGCCGCGGUAAUUC